rnacentral:rRNA from 1 species
AUUGAACGCUGGCGGCAUGCCUUACACAUGCAAGUCGAACGGUAACGGGCCUUCGGGUGCCGACGAGUGGCGAACGGGUGAGUAAUACAUCGGAACGUGCCCGAUCGUGGGGGAUAACGAGGCGAAAGCUUUGCUAAUACCGCAUACGAUCUACGGAUGAAAGCAGGGGACCGCAGGGCCUUGCGCGGACGGAGCGGCCGAUGGCAGAUUAGGUAGUUGGUGGGAUAAAAGCUUACCAAGCCGACGAUCUGUAGCUGGUCUGAGAGGAUGAUCAGCCACACUGGGACUGAGACACGGCCCAGACUCCUACGGGAGGCAGCAGUGGGGAAUUUUGGACAAUGGGCGCAAGCCUGAUCCAGCCAUGCCGCGUGCAGGAUGAAGGCCUUCGGGUUGUAAACUGCUUUUGUACGGAACGAAAAGCCUUCUUUUAAUACAGGAGGGUCAUGACGGUACCGUAAGAAUAAGCACCGGCUAACUACGUG